GAUCCUGGCUCAGGAUGAACGCUGGCGGCGUGCUUAACACAUGCAAGUCGAACGGGAAUUACUUUAUUGAAACUUCGGUCGAUUUAAUUUAAUUCUAGUGGCGGACGGGUGAGUAACGCGUGGGUAACCUGCCUUAUACAGGGGGAUAACAGUUAGAAAUGGCUGCUAAUACUGCAUAAGCGCACAGAGCUGCAUGGCUCAGUGUGAAAAACUCCGGUGGUAUAAGAUGGACCCGCGUUGGAUUAG
rnacentral:rRNA from 1 species